rnacentral:rRNA from 1 species
GACGAACGCUGGCGGCGUGCCUAAUACAUGCAAGUAGAACGCAGUUGCGAACGGGUGAGUAACGUGUAGGUAACUGCCUGGUAGCGGGGGAUAACUACUGGAAACGAUAGCUAAUACCGCAUACUACCAGAUGGACCUGCGUUGUAUUAGCUAGUUGGUGAGGUAACGGCUCACCAAGGCAACGUUACAUAGCCGAGCGUGUAGGGAUGUAGGCCACACUGGGACUGAGUCACUGCCCAGACUCCUUCGGGAAGUAGCAGUAGGGGAACUUCGGCAAUGGGGGGAACCCUGACCGAGACACGCCGCGUGAGUGAAGAAAGUUGUCGGAUCGUAAAACUCUGUUAUUGAGGAAGCGGUACUUAACCAAAAAGGGACGGCUAACUACGUGCCAGCAGCCGCGGUAAUAC